CAACUUUUAACAACGGAUCUCUUGGCUCUCGCAUCGAUGAAGAACGCAGCGAAAUGCGAUAAGUAAUGUGAAUUGCAGAAUUCAGUGAAUCAUCGAAUCUUUGAACGCACCUUGCGCUCUCUGGUAUUCCGGGGAGCACACCUGUUCGAGUGUCAUUGA
rnacentral:rRNA from 1 species